ensembl:lncRNA LINC01231 long intergenic non-protein coding RNA 1231
GAAAGCUGCAACUCCCCACCCUCCGCACAGGAGCGCCCCGUAGACGCGCAGAUGGGCCCAGCCACCCAGCGGGGCGGCAGCCCUGAGCACACAAGUUUGGAGAGCGCGCGAGGCACCUGAAAGUGGUUGGGGUUUGGAAGCAAAAGGGUGACACCUGCUGUUCGCUGGGACCGCUCUGCGGGUGUGGGCGUCGGUUUGGAAACGUCCUUUGCCUGAGCUCUGCUUGGCUGUGUGCCCCAUUCUUAUUACUCUAUCUCAGUGGGUCUCAAUCCCGGCUACACAUUGGAAUCACUUGGAAAGCUUUAAAAAUAAAACCAAACCUGUGCUUGGGCUCCACCAUAGGUGUUCACCACAGCUGUCAGUAUAAAUCAAUGCAUCUUGGUUCCAUUCUUCAUCAUUUGCUGGUAGCUAAAUUAUGGUAAAUUCAGCUAAGGACAUUUUAAAAUCCUGUUUAAUUUGUCCACAUGCUAAAUAUCCCAGCACACAAGAGAAAAAGCAGCAUGUACUUGGAUAAGACAAACCUAGGGCUUCCUUCGAGUUAAGGAACAGUCUUGGAAGUCUUGUUAUAGUUAAUGGUUUUUUGAGUGGAUGAGCAAAUGAAUGAAUAUACAAAUGGUUAUGCACACAAUUAAGCAAACUACUUGAUCACAUUCCUCCUUUUGGUUUUGCUUCCUCUACCUGUCAGUUGUCCUGAACACCUGCGGAGGUAUUUUGUGCAGGAUGGUUUACCACAUUGGCCUUGGGAGUUGAGGAAGCACCAGCUUAGGUUCUGCCACGUGCUCUUUCCUGACAGCGAGUGCUGCUGGCUGCUGACGCCUAGAAUCUCAGCACGGGAGCUGCCUUUGUCACAGACCUUGGUUCCCCAUUCAAUCGAGCACCUGUGCAGUUGCCCUGUGGUCUAGCAUCCCAGGCUCAGCAGUGACAGCUCCUGAUGGGCUUUCACCUGACUUUCUAAAUCAGUGCUGUUCUAAAUCUGUGCUAAAUCUGGUGACCAGCCAGAGCCUGGUCACCCCUGCAUGGAGUAGGAGUGAAGCUUAUGAAAAGGUGAGGUGCCAAACACACAGAGGAGAACACGGAGGAGGCCAUAUUGUAAUAAAGAGAAAGCAAGCAGUCAGAAGUCACCCCAUAAAACACCUUCCACCCUCUGAGCAUGACCAGCAAAGCGGUUUCUUCUUGCGGACACUGCAUCAGCCCAGCUCAAAGUGCAUUCCAUUCUGAUGAACAUCCACAAACAGUUAUGAAGAAG